UAACAGCAAAGUAAAAACCUACUUAUUUUUUAAGGUAAACAUAUUGCUGAAAGUAUUGUAGAAGAAAGCAAAUACAAAAAGGCGAAUGAGGAUCCUGGUGACCACGAGACUGAUAUUAAUCCUGAAUGUUUUACAGUAAGCUUAGAAGAGAAUGAAGCCAAUAGGAAUGAAAAUGAAAUAAUUGAGAAUGAAAGCGAUGAGGAACCAUUUCAUGCAGACUCUGAUACUGACCCAGAUUACAUUCCGACAGUAAGCUUAGAAGAGAAUGAAGCCAAUAGGAAUGAAAAUGAAAUAAUUGAGAAUGAAAGCGAUGAGGAACCAUUUCAUGCAGACUCUGAUACUGACCCAGAUUACAUUCCGACAGUAAGCUUAGAAGAGAAUGAAGCCA